UCCGAAAUAUAGCAUAUAAUUAAGCGGAGGAAAAGAAACCAACUCGGAUUCCCCUAGUAACGGCGAGUGAAGCGGGAAGAGCUCAUGUUGUAAAUCUGGAUGAGGGUUCCUCGUCCCGAAUUGUAGUCUAGAGAUGCGUGCUCAGCUACUCUCCAGGGCUAAUCUGUUUGUGAAAGACAGUAUCAUGGACGGUGAUAAUCCGGUUCUUGCCUUGGAUGUUGUAGCGUUUUGAGCCGUCCUCAACGAGUCGAGUUGCUUGGGAUUGCAGCUCUAAGUGGGUGGUAAAUUCCAUCUAAAGCUAAAUAUUGGUGGGAGACCGAUAGCGAACAAGUACCGUGAGGGAAAGAUGAAAAGAACUUUGAAAAGAGAGUUAAAUAGUACCUGAAACUGCUGAAAGGGAAGCGAAUGAAGUCAGUGUUGCUCUUGGUGCUCUGCUUCCGUCCCUGCGGGGAUUGUGCAUCGAGGACUUUGAGCUUGUCAGGAUGAGUUCUCUGCCGCGGGAUAUGUUUUGUGAGCUGGACGCUUCGGCCGAACUCGCAUUCUCUGUCGUGGCUUGGACUGAGGUUCCAUCUUGCCAUUGCCUGCUCGUUGCUCUCUUGUUGCUGUCUCUGUCCUACUGCUUGCAGUGUUCAGUUGCAGUUGCUGGACUGUGCGGGUUAUGCAUGCAAGGUCAGGAUCCUGACGAAAUGGCUUUAUUUACCCCGUCUUGAAACACGGACCAAGGAGUCUAACAUACGUGCGAGUACUUUGGUGGCAAACCAAUGUGCGCAAUGAAAGUAAAGGCUGGCUUCCGUCAGCUCAGGUGGGAUCCUUAUGGAGCACCAUCGACCGACCAUUGUCCCUUCGGGGUAAAGGUUUGAGUGUGAGCAUUUAUGUUGGGACCCGAAAGAUGGUGAACUAUGCCUGAAUAGGGCGAAGCCAGGGGAAACUCUGGUGGAGGCUCGUAGCGAUUCUGACGUGAAAAUUCGUUCGUAAAACNGAUNNNUACCCGCUGAAUUUAAACA
rnacentral:rRNA from 1 species